UGCAGUUUUCCGCAGGUAAGCGAAGGCUGAGUAACACGUAGGUAACCUGCCUUUAGGUGGGGCACACCCUCGGGAAACUGAGGUUAAUUCCCCAUAGAUUUUUGAUACUGGAAUGUUCUUAAAUCAAAAGUUUCGGCGCCUAAAGAUGGGCCUGCGUUCUAUCAGGUUGUUGGUAGUGUAAAGGACUACCAAGCCUUCGACGGAUAGGGGCAGUGAGAGCUGGAGCCCCCAGAUGGGAACUGAGACACGGUCCCAAGCCCUACGGGGUGCAGCAGGCGCGAAACCUCCGCAAUGCACGCAAGUGUGACGGGGGAACUCCAAGUGUUUCUGAUUUUAAUCAGUUUCUUUUCUGAAGUGUAAAUAGCUUCAGGAAUAAGAGCUGGGAAAGACAGGUGCCAGCCGCCGCGGUAAUACCUGCAGCUCGAGUGGUCUGGAUUUUUAUUGGGUCUAAAGCGUUCGUAGCAGGGCGCAUAAGUUUUCUGUGAAAUCUAACAGCUUAACUGUUAGGCGUGCAGAGGAUACUAUGUGCCUUGGAACUGGGAUGGGUCGAGGGUACUUCAGGGGUAAGGGUGAAAUCUAAUAAUCCUUGAGGGACCACCUGUGGCGAAGGCGCUCGGCUAGAACAGAUUCNACUGUGAGGGACGAAAGCUAGGGGAGCGAGCGGGAUUAGAUACCCCGGUAGUCCUAGCCGUAAAUGAUGUAGAUUAGGUGUUGCACUCUUUUCGUAANAUNGCAGUGCUGAA
rnacentral:rRNA from 1 species